rnacentral:lncRNA from 1 species
AUGGCCGUAAAAAAUCACUUUGCCCUCAUAAGAGUAAACACAGACAGUGGUUAUAUUUGUCCGUCCACUCGGGAUACACAACAACAAGAAUUAAAUAGCAGUCUUGGUCUGGGCGAAUUUGAGACAAGGAAGGAGGGAGCAGUGGCCCUACAGAACACCCAGUGGAGAGAGAGAGAGAGAGAGAGAGAGAGAGAGAGAGAGAGAGAGAGAGAGAGAGAGAGAGAGAGAGCUGAAUGGAAUGUCUCUGAUUCUCAAUGUUCCGUCUCAGAACACAUGAUAACAUGGAACUUCUAUCGUAAGGUGAGUACACAUUCUAUGGAUUCACACACCUGCUAUUAGAUAUUACAUUCCUAAUACAUGUUUUUAUAUGACAUAUCUGUUUAAUUAACAUGUAUUUUCAUGACAUAGCGUAAAUAUUUCCUUACAUACUUGACUCAUUUAGGUUUAUCCCGUGGAUAAAAGUUGUCAAGUUAAGUUUUGGCUAGAGUCGUGAGUCAUGUGGCAGGUUUAGGGCGUAGUUAUAGAGCCAGUGGGCAUCAGGAGAAAAACGACAAGCAACAGUACUCUUCUGUCAGGCAGGUGAUUAAGGAGGAGGCAUAAAAUAAUUAAGUGAUUGAAGGAAGGAAUAAUCAACACUAUCAAUUGUCUCUCCUAAACACAGCACAGCUCUGUAACAGGGAAUCACUCACUAACAGGUAAGCAGACAAACAAAUAUUGAUGUAUUGAUUAUCUGGCAGAGUAAUGAUAGUGAUUUUGGGCCGUUUUAAAAGAAGACUGCAAACUUGUUACCCAGUGGUGCGGAACUCUUGGAGUUAGCGUGCCUCGUGUAAGAAUGUUACUGAUAGGGACAGUCCAUGACGUAGCUUAUGGAUUUUACCGUGGACUUACAAAGAGCACGGUUUGCAUAUAGAAGACUUCAUGAAAUACAUGGAAACUGAUCAAGGUUUAUUGAUGAUGUUUCUGAUAUUAUACCGCUGAUCUUUCAAACUGUGGUAAAGACAGACAGCUUUAAAUGCAUUUUCUUCAAUGUAACUUUUGAUCUUAUUAGAAAGUAAUGUUCUUGAACAUCAUGUCGUCAGGAAUGAGUCAGUGUUAGGGAUGACCCCCCCCCCCCCUCGCUGAUACCCUUUUCUCUCUCUACCUUCUCUCAUUACACCCCCCCCCCUCUCUUCCUCCCACUACCCCUGA